rnacentral:rRNA from 1 species
UGGGGAAUAUUGGGCAAUGGGCGCAAGCCUGACCCAGCAACGCCGCGUGAAGGAAGAAGGCUUUCGGGUUGUAAACUUCUUUUCUGAGGGACGAUAGUGACGGUACCUCAGGAAUAAGCCACGGCUAACUACGUGCCAGCAGCCGCGGUAAUACGUAGGUGGCAAGCGUUAUCCGGAUUUACUGGGUGUAAAGGGCGUGUAGGCGGGAUGGUAAGUCAGAUGUGAAAACUAUGGGCUCAACCCAUAGCCUGCAUUUGAAACUAUCGUUCUUGAGUGUUGGAGAGGCAGGCGGAAUUCCGUGUG